rnacentral:tRNA from 1 species
UUAAAGAAAUAAAAAUUAAGGAAAAGCUUCUAACUUUAACCUUUAGCAGUGAAAUUCUGUUAGUAUUUCU